rnacentral:lncRNA from 1 species
AGAAGGACCAAGAAGGGCCAAGAAGGGCCAAGAAGGGCCAAGAAGGGCCAAGAAGGGCCAAGAAGGGCCAAGAAGGGCCAAGAAGGGCCAAGAAGGGCCAAGAAGGGCCAAGAAGGACCAAGAGGAGGCUCGGGAGAAGGUGAGGAACCAAGAGGAGGCUCAGGAGAUGGAGAAGGACCAAGAGGAGGCUCAGGAGAAGAUGGAGGACCAAGAAGGACCAAGAGGAGGCUCAGGAGAAGACCGAGGAGGCCACCAACGAGGAAGAUACAAUAAGGAGGCCACCAAUGAGGAAGAUACAACAAGGAGGAUACACCGAGGAGGCUACACCGAGGAGGAGGAGGAGGCCACCACCGCUACUCACCGGGGUUGAUGAUCUUCACCACGGCGUUGCCGUGCGGGUGGGCGGCGUGGCAGUAGAAGGGCUGCUGCGCCUUCCCGUCCUGCAGCGGCAGCUGCAGCCGGCUGGCGGCCAUGUUGCCCCCGGCCCCGCGGGCUUCUGGGAAGGCGACGGCUUUGGGGGCGGCCACGCUGUCGUUGAUCGCGUUCGUCCAGGUGAGGGUGACGCCGCCGGGGACGUAGCCCACGGC